rnacentral:rRNA from 1 species
GAUGAACGCUAGCGGCAGGCCUAAUACAUGCAAGUCGGACGGGAUCCAUUGAUAGCUUGCUAUCAAUGGUGAGAGUGGCGCACGGGUGCGUAACGCGUGAGCAACCUGCCUCCAUCAGGGGGAUAGCCUCUCGAAAGAGAGAUUAACACCGCAUAAUAUCAACAGUUCGCAUGUUCAGUUGAUUAAAUAUUUAUAGGAUGGAGAUGGGCUCGCGUGACAUUAGCUAGUUGGUAGGGUAACGGCUUACCAAGGCGACGAUGUCUAGGGGCUCUGAGAGGAGAAUCCCCCACACUGGUACUGAGACACGGACCAGACUCCUACGGGAGGCAGCAGUAAGGAAUAUUGGUCAAUGGGCGGAAGCCUGAACCAGCCAUGCCGCGUGCAGGAUGACUGCGCUAUGGGUUGUAAACUGCUUUUGUCCAGGAAUAAACCUAAAUACGAGUAUUUAGCUGAAUGUACUGGAAGAAUAAGGAUCGGCUAACUCCGUG